rnacentral:rRNA from 1 species
UGAGUACGAGCUGCUACGGCAGCGAAGUGGGUGAUGUCAUGCUUCCAAGAAAAGCCCUAUACCCGUUAAGGCAUGAUGGCCUGUACCCGAAACCGACACAGGUGGGGUGGUAGAGAAUACCGAGGGGCGCGAGGUAACUCUCUCUAAGGAACUCGGCAAAAUGGCCCCGUAACUUCGGGAGAAGGGGUGCCACCGCAAGGUGGUCGCAGUGAAGAGGCCCAGGCGACUGUUUACCAAAAACACAGGUCUCCGCUAAGUCGCAAGACGAUGUAUGGGGGCUGACGCCUGCCCAGUGCCGGAAGGUUAAGGAAGCUGGUCAGCGUAAGCGAAGCUAGCGACUGAAGCCCCGGUGAACGGCGGCCGUAACGAUAACGGUCCUAAGGUAGCGAAAUUCCUUGUCGGGUAAGUUCCGACCCGCACGAAAGGCUUAACGAUCUGGGCGCUGUCUCGGAGAGAGGCUCGGCGAAAUAGAAUUGUCUGUGAAUAUGCGGACUACGUGCACCCGGACAGAAAGACCCUAUGAAGCUUUACUGUAGCUUGGUAUUGUGCUCGGGCUCGGAAUGCGCAGGAUAGGUGGGAGGCUAUGAACCAUUGCUUGUGGGUGAUGGUGAGCCACUGGUGAGAUACCACUCUUUCCGAGCUAGAGUUCUAACAGCCACCCGUUAUCCGGGGGCUGGACAGUAUCAGGUGGGCAGCUUGACUGGGGCGGUCGCCUCCUAAAAGGUAACGGAGGCGCGCAAAGGUUUGCUCAGGCUGGUUGGAAAUCAGCCGACGAGUGUAAAAGCAGAAGCAAGCUUGACUGUGAGACCUACAAGUCGAACAGGGAGGAGACUCGGCUUUAGUGAUCCGACGGUUCUGCGUGGAAGGGCCGUCGCUCAACGGAUAAAAGUUACUCUAGGAUAACAGGCUGAUCUCCCCCAAGAGUUCACAUCGACGGGGAGGUUUGGCACCUCGAUGUCGGCUCAUCGCAACCUGGGGCUGAAGUCGGUCCCAAGGGUUGGGCUGUUCGCCCAUUAAAGCGGUACGCGAGCUGGGUUCAGAACGUCGUGAGACAGUUCGGUCCAUAUCCGGUGCAUGCGCAGGAAUAUUGAGAGGAUUUCUCCCUAGUACGAGAGGACCGGGAGGAACGCACCUCUGGUGUACCAGUUAUCGUGCCAACGGUAAACGCUGGGUAGCCAUGUGCGGAGAGGAUAACCGCUGAAAGCAUCUAAGUGGGAAGCCCACCUCAAGAUGAGUAUUCCCAUGGGGUAACCCAGUAAGGUCACGGGAAGAACACCCGUUGAUAGGCUCUACGUGGAAGCGCAGUAAUGUGUGAAGCGGAGGAGUACUAAUAGACCGAGGGCUUGACC